GUACCUUCGUAAAGCCGGACAGUCACAAAACUUGCAAAGGGAGCACCAGGUACUCACUGCAGCCUCCGCGAGAGAUUCCCAAAUUGUUGAGAUAUCUGUCAUAACAGCGGCACCUGGAAAGCGAAUUGGAUGAAACGCGUCAAAAGAGGAAAAUGAUUCGCACUGCUCGGCGCUGUAGGAUCCGUCGGGGUCGCAGCGCAGGCGGAUCGAGGGCCCCUCCGUGCCGUGCAUCAUCAUCUCCGCGUAGAGCACCUGGUGGGCGUGGUACUCACUUUCGCAGCGCCUCAGGUACUGCUCGCCUACCUCGGUGAUGUUGUCUGCAGAGAACAAGGAAGGAGGUACGUGAGGAUUCGUGACGAAGCGUUCCGUGGGAAUGCAUAUCCGGUCAGGCCAAACGUCCAGGGGAUGUAUUAUCAUUAUUCAUGAAAAUGCGAAUCUGUAGUGAAAUAAAUGACAUCAUCUAAAUAUGGAAAGAAACGUAACUGGAUCAAG
rnacentral:lncRNA from 1 species